UACGAAGGGGGCUAGCGUUGUUCGGAAUUACUGGGCGUAAAGCGCGCGCAGGCGGUUCUUCAAGUCAGUGGUGAAAGCCCGGAGCUCAACUCCGGAACUGCCAUUGAAACUGUAGAACUUGAGGAUGAGAGAGGUGAGUGGAAUUCCCAGUGUAGAGGUGAAAUUCGUAGAUAUCGGGGAGGAACACCAGUGGCGAAGGCGGCGACCUGGGCCAAUACUGACGCUGAGGUGCGAAAGCGUGGGGAGCAAACAGGG
rnacentral:rRNA from 1 species